rnacentral:rRNA from 1 species
GACGAACGCUGGCGGCGUGCUUAACACAUGCCAGUCGAACGGAAAGGCCCUGCUUUUGUGGGGUGCUCGAGUGGCGAACGGGUGAGUAACACGUGAGUAACCUGCCCUUGACUUUGGGAUAACUUCAGGAAACUGGGGCUAAUACCGGCUAGGAGCUCCUGCUGCAUGGUGGGGGUUGGAAAGUUUCGGCGGUUGGGGAUGGACUCGCGGCUUAUCAGCUUGUUGGUGGGGUAGUGGCUUACCAAGGCUUUGACGGGUAGCCGGCCUGAGAGGGUGACCGGCGACAUUGGGACUGAGGUACGGCCCAGACUCCUACGGGAGGCAGCAGUGGGGAAUAUUGCACAAUGGGCGGAAGCCUGAUGCAGCAACGCCGCGUGCGGGAUGACGGCCUUCGGGUUGUAAACCGCUUUCGCCUGUGACGAAGCGUGAGUGACGGUAAUGGGUAAAGAAGCACCGGCUAACUACGUG